GCGGGUGUAGCUCAGUGGUGAGGGUGUGCAUGCUGCAUGCACGAGGUCCUGGGUUCAAUCCCCAGCACCUCCA
rnacentral:tRNA from 1 species